GUUCGCCUCUACGUCUAGAUCAAUACCCGAACUCUUACCGAACUCGAGCGUCCUUAUCUAGAUAGCCACACAUACUACUAAUCGUGGGAACCAUGGCUUUUAUAAAAUUACAAUAAAUCAAAAAUUCGUAAGGUUGCGCUAUA
rnacentral:rRNA from 1 species